CGGAUCUCGCGAGACGAGGCCGGAGCGCGGCUCAGCAGGUGCGCGGGGGCCCGGGAGCAGGUGCGCGCCGGGCUUGCUGGGCUCUGCAAGUCUGUGCGCCCCGCCUGGCCUUGCGGGUGUCUUCUUGUGGCUUGGGGGAGGCGGUGGGGCGAUCAGGGGUCGGGGAGAGAGACAAACCUUAAUGGGUUUCCCUGAGUUGGGGCGGAUCUGGGGACCACAACUACCUGGGCCUGAUCUAGCUAGGGUCCAUUGGCGGAGAGACAGGAGGCUUUGCCUUGCUCGCAAUUGCUACCUUGUCCCACAGGGGCCUGUGGAGUGUUAACUCCAGCUACUAACCCUACCCUUUGUCAGCCGCCUAGGGUACGGGAGUAAAGGACACACCGGAGUAAAGACGUUGAGGGCGGGGAAGGAUACUUUGUGACAAAGAAGAGGGAAGAUAUAAGAAAUUCACAUUUCACAAUGCAGUUAACAAAGUUUUGCUGGAGUGCCUCUGUUACAGAUAUAUGCUUUUUAUUAAUUGAUGGGGUGGGGGACGGGGACACGUGCACCGCAGUGUGCCUGUGAGGUCAGAGCACAGCUUGUGAAGUCAAUUCUCUCCUUCCACCAUGGGUUCCAGGAAUUGAACUUAGGUGUCCGUCCUGGCUGAGUUCUCUCCACCAAUCUGUUAUGAAUUAAUAAAAAGAUAUAGCCUUUCUUCUCAGCUGCAUGCGGUGGCGCCCACCUUUAAUCCCGGCACUAGAGAGGCAGAGGCAGGUGGAUCUCUGGGAGUUCAAGUCCAGCUGGCUGGUCUAUAUAGUGAGUUGCAGGCCAGCCAGGGCUACCUAGUGAGGCCCUGUCUCAAAAAAAAGAUCGUGUUAUAGUUUGGAUAGAAGGGGACUGAGACGAAUUACCCCCAGGGGGCUUUAUUAGGAAAGUGGCAUCCAUCAGGAGAGCAUAUGGACAGCUGGAGAGGCUGCUACCUCACAAUUACCACCCACUUUUGAAUGGUGUAUGGCUACUUCACCCCCAUUGUAAAGCCAAUGGUGACAGCAGAAAUAACAUGGCUCAUGGCGGCUAAAAUAUUUACUAUCUGGCUCAUUCCAGGGAGCUAUGCCAACUCCUGAUUAAAUCAGUGUUCUCUAUACAAACUCUGCCCAGACCACACUUCACCCCAAUUCUCUUCUGACUUUUUUUUCUUGUCGUUCAGGGUGAAGUCUAACGUUAUCACAAGGAGGCCUCCCAUCUCUGACUGAAUCAUCAAAUAGCAUCCCUAAUGAACUGCCCACGGGCUGUGUUUUCAAUAAUGAGUAGCCUGGUAUGGCAUGUACCUGAAGCCCCAACCCCUUGGGAGGCUGAGGCAGGAGGAUUGCUUAAACCAAGGACUUUGAGGUCAGCCUGGCGACAUAGUAAAAUCCCCUCAGGGGAGAAGGGGAGGGGAAUAUAUUGGCAAAAGGCAUCCUUUUCUUCCAUCUCUGGGAUUCUAGGAAGUUUUGCUAAGAGCAGUGUUAAGAGUCAGAACUUACGCAAAAGUUUGUCAUCUCUAGAGAAGUUUGUCAUCCCUAGAGAAAGCUACUUGCGGUGUGAAGAGAAUGGACACCACUGGCAGCCAAGUUGGAUCAACUUGAUUUUCUAAGACUUUGAGCCACGGGCUUUAGAAUUCACAUGGAGUUGAAUCAGACUAAUGAGAUGGACACAAGUUCUUCUGGUUUCUCUGCCCUGCCCCCACCUCAGCAACAGUCCACUCACCUGGUGAAAGUUUAUCUUCUCAGCCUCUUUCCCGGCACCCAUAUCAGCUCACCCACUUACAAUUCUCCUGUCUCCGGAAUCCCGAAAUGUGGCCCCUCUGGUCCCGGUGUCUUCCACAGAUCUCUUAAGAGAGUUUAGCAGGAGUCAAUAGUGAUGGUGGGACUGGGUUUGAUCUUGUUCCGAAAUGGCUUCUCUGCUUGUCAUCAAAGAUAUUUCCACUGAAGCUUAGAUGAUGAAAAUAAUCAGAAGUCAUCAGUCGGCAGAGCAACAGUGAAUGCCUCUUUGUCCCGUUUGAAAACAGCCCACAUUGUGGACACCACCUCUCUAUAGGAGAAAUAACCUUUUUUUAGGAUUCACUAAUAAAUUUGUAUUAAUCUUUA